CCAAUAGCGUAUAUUAAAGUUGUUGCAGUUAAAAAGCUCGUAGUUGAAUUUCGGGAUCAGUACGCUGGUCGUGCCUUUGGUAUGCACUGGUGUCACUGGUUUCUCCCUUCUGAAGAUCCGUGAUGUCAUUAAUUUGGUGUCGCGGGGAAUCAGGACUGUUACUUUGAAAAAAUUAGAGUGUUUAAAGCAGGCUCACGCUUGAAUACAUUAGCAUGGAAUAAUGAAAUAGGACGUUUGAUCCUAUUUUGUUGGUUUCUAGGAUCGACGUAAUGAUUAAUAGGGAUAGUUGGGGGCAUUAGUAUUCAAUUGUCAGGGGUGAAAUUCUUGGAUUUAUUGAAGACUAACUACUGCGAAAGCAUUUGCCAAGGAUGUUUUCAUUAAUCAAGAACGAAAGUUAGGGGAUCGAAGACGAUCAGAUACCGUCGUAGUCUUAACCAUAAACUAUGCCGACUAGGGAUCGGAUGAUGUUAAUUUUAUAAUGACUCAUUCGGCGCCUUACG
rnacentral:rRNA from 1 species